rnacentral:rRNA from 1 species
AGAUUGAACGCUGGCGGCAUGCCUUACACAUGCAAGUCGAACGGCAGCACGGGAGCAAUCCUGGUGGCGAGUGGCGAACGGGUGAGUAAUAUAUCGGAACGUGCCCAGUCGUGGGGGAUAACGCAGCGAAAGCUGUGCUAAUACCGCAUACGAUCUAUGGAUGGAAAGCGGGGGAUCGCAAGACCUCGCGCGAUUGGGAGCGGCCGAUAUCAGAUUAGCUAGUUGGUAGGGGUAAAAGCCUACAAGGCGACGAUCUGUAGCUGGUCUGAGAGGACGACCAGCCACACGUGGAACUGAGACACGGUCCAGACUCCGUA